UCAAAGCUAUACUGACAAAUUUCUUGACAAAUUUAAACAGAACAUUUACAGAGCCAAGCAAAGCAUUUCACCUAGGAGGCAAUCCAAACUCAACCCAAUGAUAAGAUAAGAAGGAUAUGACCUGGAAGAGCAAGUUUACUGCAUCUGCUAUACCUCAGAUACCAGCAGAUAUAUGAUGCAAAUAUUACUGAAGAGAAAUCCUGCUUCAUCAGAAAGGUUUCCUGUCUGGCAAAGGGAUCCUAACUUAAGUACCGAAUACAAACAGAAACACUGGAAGAUGUAAGGAAGGAGGAAUCAGCAAAGAAGGCAAAAUAAAAAGACAUGAAGGAUAAACUUGUAUAUAACUGCAGCAAAUGUGACUCUAGUCAAGGAAAACCACGUCAGCAAUGCCAGUACCGAGUCUGUCUCACUUUUGCCCCCGAGUUUCAAAUUUGGUGUUUUCAAAUUUUCUUUCAUUGUUGACUGAAUCUCAUUUAGCAGAAAAAUGUUGAGACAGUAGCGUAAGUAGAGGAAAUUACCGUAAAACCGACCUUGAAAACCUCGAGCACGGAAAUAAGCAAACGACGACUUUUGGUCAACCAUUGUUGCGGACCAUAUCGUAUAAAUACGUCGCGUCCGGGAAGUAAGAACUGCAGUGACCAGUUGGCUGACCGGUGCGUUGCAAAAACCUAAGAAGUUCGAUGAUACUGAUGGAUGCGAGUAUCUUUUACUACGGGAAGUCUUUGAAGAGAAAAAGCUGGGAGAAACUUGGAAGGCCGAAAUCCAUAUGGAAAGAGUACGCCAGUGGCUGCGAAAACUGGCGAGACCAUUUAAAACAAUAAAAAAAAAAACCAUCAUAGAAGACAUGUUUACAUAUGCUAUUUCACGUGCUUUUUUACUGCUUUAUAUGGCUUCUUUUGAUUCUCUGGUCACGUGUCCUUUUGCCUACUUCUGAAAUUAAGAAAUUCUUACAACUCGUGGUGUUUGUAAAUUUGGAUAAUAGAUGGCGCGACGCUACUGCGCCUCUGUCUUUAUGUUGUGAAAAAACUAAGACUGAUAAGUGAAACCCGUGUCUGAAUAUUUGUUAACUUUGUUACAUUCCAGUGAUAAGUUUGUAAAAUUAAAUGGUGUGAUUUCAACUAUUGAAAGUUUUUCAUUCUCUUCUGUGUUUUUGAAGUAAGAAACGUCAAGUGGAUUAUUUUGUGUGCAAUGGGUUAACUUGCGAUCAGCUAUGCCGGUUGCCAAAUCCAAUCUAUUACUUUUACAUUCCACCAUGAAAUUUUAUUGCAUGUUGAAAGAAGUAGUUGGUGAAACCUAAAUAGCAAUGGAUACUAACGGUGAAGAAAGUUUUGAUCUGAAUAGUGCACCAUGUUGUGUUGCAAACCAUUAACCAUUUCAACAAUCUUCUCGUCAUUUCUACUUAGCCUAUCAAAUGGCAGGAAUUUGAGUUACAGGCUCGUGUAUCUAAAAUGAAAGGAUAGGAUGCUGGCCUCAAAGGAAGAUCAUCAACAAUGCAAAAUCAAUGGAUUAGAAUACCUCAUGUCAUUCUAUACAUUUGCCCACUUAUAAUCUCAUUUAACAGGCGUCUUUGCUUCGCCCGUCGCCCCGUCUUCGCUUUGCCCGUCACCCCGUCUUUGCUUCGCCCGUCGCCCCGUCUUCGAUUCGCCCGUCGCCCCGUCUUCGCCUCGCCCGUCGCCCCGUCUUCGCCUCGUGGUCGCCUUGUCAUCGUGGUAUCUUUGUAUUUUGUAAUGUUUAGUGCUAAUUAACCCGUUGGCUGCCACCCACUUUGAUCCCCUUUUUUUUUAAAGCUUGUUAGGGUCCGGCAGCGCUGUUCUGCCCAAUGGUCUAUAUGCCAUGGGUGGGACAGUUGCACAAGCCGUGUGGCUCAAAGUCGAUCGUCGAGGCAAUGUACCAGUAGGGACUUUCCCUUUUUCGAUGCUUUGAUGGUUGCCUGGAGUGUACAUUCUCACAAAGGCUUCUGUCAUCGUGUCAGCCCGGAUUUGUCGUAGGACAAGUC